GACGAACGCUGGCGGCGUGCUUAACACAUGCAAGUCGAACGGAAAGGCCCUGCUUUUGUGGGGUGCUCGAGUGGCGAACGGGUGAGUAACACGUGAGUAACCUGCCCUUGACUUUGGGAUAACUUCAGGAAACUGGGGCUAAUACCGGAUAGGAGCUCCUGCUGCACGGUGGGGGUUGGAAAGGUUCGGCGGUUGGGGCUGGACUCGCGGCUUAUCAGCUUGUUGGUGGGGUAGUGGCUUACCAAGGCUUUGACGGGUAGCCGGCCUGAGAGGGUGACCGGCCACAUUGGGACUGAGAUACGGCCCAGACUCCUACGGGAGGCAGCAGUGGGGAAUUUUGCACGAUGGGCGGAAGCCUGAUGCAGCAACGCCGCGUGCGGGAUGACGGCCUUCGGGUUGUAAACCGCUUUCGCCUGUGACGAAGCGUGAGUGACGGUAAUGGGUAAAGAAGCACCGGCUAACUACGUG
rnacentral:rRNA from 1 species